AAUCCAUGUUGAGGGCAGCGUCGAAUCAUAUCUUUAUACCUUUUUCACACUUUAUAGAGUGACUCAAAAUUAUUUUGCUUGAAUUGACCAAUCUCACUCUUGAGUUG